rnacentral:tRNA from 1 species
GAGGGUAUAGUUCAGUGGUAGCGCAGAUGCUUAGCAUGCAUGAGGUCCUGGGUUCAAUCCCCAGUACCUCUA